UACGUAGGGUGCGAGCGUUAAUCGGAAUUACUGGGCGUAAAGCGUGCGCAGGCGGUUCGCUGUGUCUGCGGUGAAAGCCCCGGGCUCAACCUGGGAAUGGCCGUGGAAACUGGCGAGCUGGAGUGUGGCAGAGGGGGGUGGAAUUCCACGUGUAGCAGUGAAAUGCGUAGAGAUGUGGAGGAACACCGAUGGCGAAGGCAGCCCCCUGGGCUGACACUGACGCUCAGGCACGAAAGCGUAGGGAGCAAACAGG
rnacentral:rRNA from 1 species